rnacentral:rRNA from 1 species
GAUGAACGCUAGCGGCAGGCUUAAUACAUGCAAGUCGUGGGGCAGCAUGAGUAGCAAUACUUGAUGGCGACCGGCAAACGGGUGAGGAACACGUACACAACCUUCCUUCAAGCGGGGAAUAGCCCAGAGAAAUUUGGAUUAAUACCCCAUAAUAUAUUUGAUAAGGCAUCUUAUUAAUAAUUAAAGCUUUCGGCACUUGAUGAUGGGUGUGCGGCUGAUUAGAUAGUUGGCGGGGUAACGGCCCACCAAGUCUACGAUCAGUAGCUGAUGUGAGAGCAUGAUCAGCCACACGGGCACUGAGACACGGGCCCGACUCCUACGGGAGGCAGCAGUAAGGAUAUUGGACAAUGGACGAAAGUCUGAUCCAGCCAUGCCGCGUGAAGGAUUAAGGUCCUCUCGGAUUGUAAACUUCUUUUAUAUUGGGACGAAAAAGGGCAUUACUUGGUUUCACUUGACGGUACCAUAUGAAUAAGCACCGGCUAACUCCGUGCCAGCA